rnacentral:rRNA from 1 species
GAUGAACGCUGGCGGCGUGCUUAACACAUGCAAGUCGAACGAAGCACUUUAUUUGAUUUCCUUCGGGACUGAUUAUUUUGUGACUGAGUGGCGGACGGGUGAGUAACGCGUGGGUAACCUGCCUUGUACAGGGGGAUAACAGUUGGAAACGGCUGCUAAUACCGCAUAAGCGCACAGCAUCGCAUGAUGCAGUGUGAAAAACUCCGGUGGUAUAAGAUGGACCCGCGUUGGAUUAGCUAGUUGGUGAGGUAACGGCCCACCAAGGCGACGAUCCAUAGCCGACCUGAGAGGGUGACCGGCCACAUUGGGACUGAGACACGGCCCAAACUCCUACGGGAGGCAGCAGUGGGGAAUAUUGAACAAUGGGCGAAAGCCUGAUGCAGCGACGCCGCGUGAGCGAAGAAGUAUUUCGGUAUGUAAAGCUCUAUCAGCAGGGAAGAUAAUGACGGUACCUGACUAAGAAGCACCGGCUAAAUACGUG